GAUUAAGCCAUGCAUGUGUAAGUAUAAAUAGUUAACUUUGAAACUGCGAAUGGCUCAUUAUAUCAGUUAUAGUUUAUUUGAUGAAGAAUACUAAUUGGAUAACCGUAGUAAUUCUAGAGCUAAUACAUGUAUAAAGUCUUGUAGACUGCAUUUAUUAGAAUGAAAACCAUAGGUUUCGGCCUAUUCGUGAGUAAUUAUAACUAAUCAUAUCGUAUGCUUAAGUAACGAUGUGUCUUUCAAGUUUCUGCCCUAUCAGCUUUCGAUGGUAGUGUAUUGGACUACCAUG
rnacentral:rRNA from 1 species